rnacentral:lncRNA from 1 species
AUUAAGUCACAUACUGCCAUCUGCCCAUGCACAAGAGCAUGGCAGAGAACCUGCCUCUCCUGCCCCCCAGCUCAGCUCUGGGAUGUAGCUUAUAGCCCAGAGAGAUUUGUGCAGAGCAGUUGAGUGUCCCUCUGUUAAGGUAUGUGGACCUUCUGACCUUGCAUUGCCAAGAACGCUCUCAUCACAACAGGUAGCCCAUAUGGGGGUUCAUCUCUCACUGGCUGUCCUGAGGUCACUUGGUCCUGUGACUCUAGACAUAUCUCCAAUUGCCAUAUCUCAGGCCUGGGAUCCUGCGGCUAAUCUUGAGGCUGGUUGACCUCCCGCUCACCCUACCUUUGCCCCUUUAGCAUCCACACCCUCAGUCCAAGGAGGGGAUGCAUUAGACACAAGAAGGCCUAUUUCAGAAGACCUGGGGCAGACAGAUUUGUGGUUCAUGGGCCACAACUAACCUGUUUGGCUGGGAUGUGUCCUAAAAUAUCUUAAGCCAACAUUCAAAACUUGGGAGAUUUUUGCAGAAAAAUAGAUUCCUAACCUCUUGAAAAAUUAGAAUGUCUGCCACCAUUGAGCUGACUUAAUUUCCUGGGCACUGUGGGAGAAGCCAAGUUAACAGCCACUCACUCCUAGAUGAACACUGCUUCCCAGGCUGCUACAUGCCCACCAGCUGGAAGAGGUGAGGUACACAAGGCCUCCAUCCACACACUUG